rnacentral:misc_RNA from 1 species
CCUGUUCGAGCGUCAUAAGUCCAAAUCACGCCUAGCGUGGUCUUGGGGCAUGCCUCUGGGCAGUCCUUAAACGUAGUGGCGGCGCCGUCUGGCUCUAAGCGUAGUAAUUUCUCUCGCUAUAGGGUCCUGCGGAUGCUUGCCAGCAACCCCCAAUACAAUCGGUUGACCUCGGAUCAGGUAGGGAUACCCGCUGAACUUAA